UAUUUUAUUUAACGUUAAGAAAACAAUUGUUUAGCAUUCUAAAAUAAAUAUCUUUUUCGUAAGGAUUUGGGAAACUGUUCCUGUCCGAACUUGUGUCAUAGACGUUCGACGGAUCUCUUGUACUAAAAAAAAGAUGUCCAAUGUUCAAAAAUACACGUCCGAUGGACAUCCAAUAGAUAUCGAUGUGCAAUCUGGGCAUUCAGGCUAUCCUUGAAAAAUAUUGCAUACGAAAAUACUAGGGAACUCUAUAAUAUUUGUAACGUAUACUAUAGUAUUUUCGUAUAUUUUCGUAUGCGAUAUUUUUCGAGAAUAGGCCCCCUGGACUUAACGCUUGCCAUUUGUUGCGUGCAGUUUGAACUAAGCUUUAAAACCCGAUUGAAAGCACAUUUCACACGAAAUGCUUCGUAAUAAAAAUAAAACCCCUCGUGUGAUUUUUAAAAAAUUGUUAAAAAAGCGAAAGCAAAACAUUGCGAGCAAACUUAGAAAAAUUUUUGAAUAAAAAGGUCAUUUUUAAAAUAUCCACAUGUAAACAUACUUUGUACGUUGUAAAAUGUACGUUUUUAAAACGUUCGUAUUAAAUUCACGAACGUUUGGAUCAAACUGAAACCAAAACUGGACGUGCAAUGGAUGUCCUGUGCUGUCUGGAAAUGUAUGUAACUGUGUUAAAUAAGCAAUACCUCAAAACAAAUAAAAAUAGGUUUAUAAAAUUAAUUUCAGUUACAUCAUUAUGAAAUUAAGUUCAGAAAUCCAAACAUGAACAGCACACCAAAAUACAUGAAAAUUAGAUGAAAAUAAUCAAACAGCUUUUUAAUCGCAGACCUGUAUAAUUUAUGAAAGAGAAGUAAGAAACAUAUACGUACUAUAACGGAUGUUGCGCCAUUCGCCAAAGGACCAUAAACGACGUAAGUAUGUCCUGUGAUCCAGCCACAAUCGGCGGUGCACCAA